UACGAGAGGGCCGCUACCACGCGAGUGGACGCCAAUCCCUAAAACCCCUCUCAGUUCGGACUGGAGUCUGCAACCCGACUCCACGAAGCUGGAUUCGCUAGUAAUCGCGCAUCAGCCACGGCGCGGUGAAUACGUUCCCGGGCCUUGUACACACCGCCCGUCACACCAUGAGAGUCGGGAACACCCGAAGUCCGUAGUCUAACCGCAAGGAGGGCGCGGCCGAAGGUGGGUCCGGUAAUUGGGGUGAAGUCGUAACAAGGUAUC
rnacentral:rRNA from 1 species